CAAUAUAUUUCGCUACGUGGUCCAGAGGGUACCACUCGGAGGACCUCGGGUGCUGUAAGGUAUCCGGGUCGAACAAAGGUUCGCCCUGCGGGUCAACCAAAGCUGAGUCGUCAGGUCCGUCCUUAUGGUCCAUGUCCGUGCCCGUGGCGGAGCUAUAGUCCCGCAAGUGAGUCUCAGUAGAGUCCUCAUUAUAAUCAUCAGAGUCCUCCUCUUCGGACUUGCUCUGAGCCUCCUCUAGC